UUAGUCUUUGAUCAGGAGCAUUAUCCAAAAGAAAAUAAAAUGCUCAUAUCCAUUUCUUUUAAUUUUGUGACACUGUAUUAUUUUAUUUAGAAAGAAAAUACACCCCAAACUUCUUUCUUUAAUCCAAAAAUAUCACCUCUAAGAGCUCCUGUUUGCAAGAUGAGGAGAGCAGAAGUAUUCUACACCCUUUUUCUUGAUCCUAAUAUUACAUGGUAUGCUUUUCCCCCCACUUCGUGAUGGAUUGCUGUAAGGGUCAUUGUAACCUGACGUCACGGACAUAAAGGAGUUGAAAAGAGGAAAAGUGAUAAAGAUUGUUCUGAAACUUUAUUCUCUUUAUUAUGAUGCUGACACUACUACAUAUCGUACAGGCAGUGGAGGGUAAAGGGAAGGAAAGAAAGGGAGAAAAAUUAUUUAUAUUUCCUUCCGAUUUAAUUAGGGAAACUAAAAAAUUACCCAGAGUAAUGACAGUCACCAGAAGCUUAAACAGCUUGUAAGGUAAAGAAUAAACAGUUCUUAAAGCAACAGGUUAUUAAAACCAGGAUCAAACCAGGUUUUUUUUUUUGGGGGGGGGGGGAACCAAACUUGGUCAAAUUAAAUUAAUCAAAUAAACCGCAAUGAACGUUAAACGUAUAUCGAACAAGAUUAAAUGAUUAAAAGUUUAAACGUUCUUCGUAGUUUCCAGACCAUCCCUAAUUCCUACACCAUAAACUGCAGGUACUGAACAAAUGUUCAAAACCCAUACUCCAUAAGCUCUGUUCUCAAAAGGAGGAGUUUAUCUUGUUUCAUAAUUUCAUAAUACAGGAAAAAAGGUUUCCCACUAGGCUAUUAAUAAACUACGAAAUAGCAGUAAAGUACAGAUCCGGGAAAUGGCACACAACAACGGGUCUGCCUAUCCAACUACGUCUACGCAGCUCUACCGGCGAGAAAGGUAAGAGACAAGCCGCUCAGACUCCGAGAGCCGCGGAGACAUUUCUAACCCAGCACGUGGCUCUGAGCACUCUUCCCCAUCCUCAGGGACUCGGGAAACCCGAGCUGCUGAUUCACCGCUCCUCGGUUCCGCCCGACGGCUUCCUCCCAAAGAAGUAAAUAAAAGCCUGAACUCUCAACCUCCUGAAGGCCGGCGGGGUCGUCCCGCCCUUGGCCACGCGACCACCUGAGGCCUCAGGGCCGGGAGCACCCGGACCCGGACAGCUUCCGAGCUCGCGAAGGCCUGAGCGCUGCCCGGCGGUGAGACACCAAGCGGGGCUCGCGCCGCGGCCUCGACCUGCUCUGAGAACCUCUCCGUUCUCUGGAGGACCGCGGGCAGGAUGUGAGGUCAAGAAGAUCCAGAAAAUCACUGUGACACGUUUCUUUGCAGCCACGCUUGUUUAUUGUGCCAAGAGUCUCCUUCCCUAAGAAAUCGUGGGCUGAGAGGCCGCUCUUAGCCCUGAACGGUACCAUCUUGGUGAAGGCUCCUGUGGAUAAAGUGAAACUUCCUCUUGUGCUCUCUGAUGCAUCUGUUCUCAGAUUUUUUGCUUCAGUGGGGUGCAAGGACCUUUACACUGGACUUCCAAGCUCUCACAAAGCAUCAGGGUCUUUUCCAGUGAGUCAGCUCUUCACAUCAGGUGGCCAAAGUACUGGAGUUUCAGCUUCAGCAUCAGUCCUUCCAAUGAACACCCAGGACUGAUCUCCUUCAGGAUGGACUGAUUGGAUCUUCUUGCAGUCCAAGGGACUCUCAAGAGUCUUCUCCAACACCACAGUUCAAAAACAUCAGUUCUUCAGCACCCAGCCUUCUUUAUGGUCCGGAUCUCACAUCCGUACACGACCACUGGAAAAACCAUAACUUUGACUAGAUGGACCUUUGUCGACAGGGAAGCUACAGGGCUUUCCUGUGGCUCAGUUGGUGAAGAAUCUGCCUGCAACACAGGAGACCCAGGUUCGAUCCCUGGGUCAGGAAGAUCCCCUGGAGAAGAAAAUGGCAACCCACUCCAACAUUCUUGCCCAGAGAAUCCCAUGGACAGUGGAGCCUGGCAGGUUGCAGUCCAUGGGGUCGCAAGAGUCGGACACGACUUAGUGACUAAAACCACCAAACCACCACCUUUGUCAACAAAGUAAUGUCUCUGCUUUUUAAUAUGCUGUCUAGGUUGGUCAUGGUUUUUCUCCCAAGGAGCAAGUGUCUUUUAAUUUCAUGGCUGCAGUCACCAUCUGCAGUGAUUUUGGAGCCCAAGAAAAUAAAACCUGUCACCACUUCCACUUUUUCCCCUUUUAUUUGCCACGAGGUGAAGGGAGCAGAUCCUAGCUUUUAUUGUGAGUGAGAUGGGAAGCAGUAAAUGGCUAAGACCAGAGCAAAGAUGUUUUCUGAUUU